rnacentral:misc_RNA from 1 species
UUGCUUAACAAGUUCAGAAUGCAAUGGAUUUGGUGCUGGCGUUUGGAACUACCUUUAUUGUUGUUAUGCCAAUGCUGUUGACUAUCACGUUCUAACUAGCAACCUUUGCCACUGCUCGCGUUCAUCAUCUUUUUAUCAACUAAUUAAUAGUAUAUCUAUUUUCUCUGUUUUCUUUCUUCAAAGUUGCAACAAUUUAGUGCGUUUUGAAACUUUGAAUGUACUGUGUACCUUUUUCCUCAGUAUGAUUUUUGAGUGCCACAGGCCCUUUGAAUUUGGUAUCAUUUCCAUCAGCUAAUGUUCAAAUUUGGAUUCAGAUCAGUGACAAAAUGCCUG